rnacentral:rRNA from 1 species
GAUGAACGCUGGCGGCGUGCCUAAUACAUGCAAGUCGAGCGAACUGAUUAGAAGCUUGCUUCUAUGACGUUAGCGGCGGACGGGUGAGUAACACGUGGGCAACCUGCCUGUAAGACUGGGAUAACUUCGGGAAACCGAAGCUAAUACCGGAUAGGAUCUUCUCCUUCAUGGGAGAUGAUUGAAAGAUGGUUUCGGCUAUCACUUACAGAUGGGCCCGCGGUGCAUUAGCUAGUUGGUGAGGUAACGGCUCACCAAGGCAACGAUGCAUAGCCGACCUGAGAGGGUGAUCGGCCACACUGGGACUGAGACACGGCCCAAACUCCUACGGGAGGCAGCAGUAGGGAAUCUUCCGCACUGGACGAAAGUCUGACGGGGCAACGCCGCGUGAGUGAUGAAGGCUUUCGGGUCGUAAAACUCUGUUGUUAGGGAAGAACAAGUACAAGAGUAACUGCUUGUACCUUGACGGUACCUAACCAGAAAGCCGCGGCUAACUACGUGCCAGCCGCCGCGGUAAAAC